AUUGAACGCUGGCGGAAUGCUUUACACAUGCAAGUCGAACGGCAGCACGGACUUCGGUCUGGUGGCGAGUGGCGAACGGGUGAGUAAUGUAUCGGAACGUGCCCAGUCGUGGGGGAUAACGUAGUGAAAAUUACGCUAAUAACGCAUACGAUCUAUGGAUGAAAGCGGGGGAUCGCAAGACCUCGCGCGCUUGGAGCGGCCGAAAUCAGAUUAGGUAGUUGGUGGGGUAAAGGCCCACCAAGCCAACGAUCUGUAGCUGGUCUGAGAGGACGACCAGCCACACUGGAACUGAGACACGGUCCAGACUCCUACGGGAGGCAGCAGUGGGGAAUUUUGGACAAUGGGCGAAAGCCUGAUCCAGCCAUUCCGCGUGCAGGAUGAAGGCCCUCGGGUUGUAAACUGCUUUUGUACAGAACGAAAAGGUUUCUACUAAUACUAGGAGCUCAUGACGGUACUGUAAGAAUAAGCACCGGCUAACUACGUGCCAGCAGCCGCCGUAA
rnacentral:rRNA from 1 species